CCUACGGGGGGCAGCAGUGGGGAAUUUUGCGCAAUGGGGGAAACCCUGACGCAGCAACGCCGCGUGCGGGAUGACGGCCCUCGGGUUGUAAACCGCUUUCAGCAGGGAAGAUAUUGACGGUACCUGCAGAAGAAGCUCCGGCUAACUACGUGCCAGCAGCCGCGGUAAUACGUAGGGAGCGAGCGUUAUCCGGAUUCAUUGGGCGUAAAGCGCGCGUAGGCGGCUGCCUAAGCGGAACCUCUAACCCCGGGGCUCAACCUCGGGCCGGGUUCCGAACUGGGCGGCUCGAGUGCGGUAGAGGAGAG
rnacentral:rRNA from 1 species